GUGUAUAUGACUUACUACUACUCUUGUGUGUGUAUAUGACUUACUAUUAUUCUUAUGUCUUUCUAAACAUUCUCAACACGUUAUCAGUAUGACUCUCUUCUACACACUAUUACAAUUUUUUUUGCUCUAGUCUUGACUUUUCAAACCUGUUGCUACUCUUGUUCAAUAUCUGCUUCAUGAUCUUAUUACUCUUCUUGCUCGCCCCUCACAUAUUACCUGCUCGCUUAAAGCACUUGUUCUACUCUUUGCCAUGCUUGCUUAGAAUACUUAUUUAGAAUAUUUGAUCCAGCCCAGCUCCACCCUAGCUUGCUCCCUGCUGCACCUCGCGCCUGUUGUUGAACU
rnacentral:lncRNA from 1 species